rnacentral:tRNA from 1 species
GGAGAUGUGGGAGAGCGGUUUAAUCCAGCACCUUGCUAAGGUGUCGUACCGUUAGGUACCGCGAGUUCGAAUCUCGCCAUCUCCGCCA